UACAGAGGUCCCAAGCGUUGUUCGGAUUCAUUGGGCGUAAAGGGUGCGUAGGCGGCGCGGUAAGUCGGGUGUGAAAUCUCGGGGCUUAACUCCGAAACUGCAUUCGAUACUGCCGUGCUUGAGGACUGGAGAGGAGACUGGAAUUUACGGUGUAGCGGUGAAAUGCGUAGAUAUCGUAAGGAAGACCAGUGGCGAAGGCGGGU
rnacentral:rRNA from 1 species